CGGCACCCACCUCCGGGUGGAAGCGAGUGGCGAACGGCUGAGUAACACGUGGAGACCCGCCCCCUCCUCCGGGAUAGCCUCGGGAAACCGUGGGUAAUACCGGAUGAGCCGCAUGGCCAAAGCCCAGCGGGAGGGGAUGGCUCCGCGGCCCAUCAGGUAGACGGCGGGGUGACGGCCCACCGUGCCGACGACGGGUAGCCGGGUUGAGAGACCGACCGGCCAGAUUGGGACUGAGACACGGCCCAGACUCUACGGGAGGCAGCAGUGGGGAAUCUUGCGCAAUGGGGGGAACCCUGACGCAGCGACGCCCGUGCGGGACGAAGGCCCUCGGGUCGUAAACCGCUUUCGGCAGGGAUGAGCAAGCGGUACCUGCAGAAGAAGCCCCGGCUAACUACGUGCCAGCAGCCGCGGUAAUACGUAGGGGGCGAGCGUUAUCCGGAUUCAUUGGGCGUAAAGCGCGCGUAGGCGGCCCGGCAGGCAGGGGGUCAAAUGGCGGGGCUCAACCCCGUCCCGCCCCCUGAACCGCCGGGCUCGGGUCCGGUAGGGGAGGGUGGAACACCCGGUGUAGCGGUGGAAUGCGCAGAUAUCGGGUGGAACACCGGUGGCGAAGGGCCCUCUGGGCCGAGACCGACGCUGAGGCGCGAAAGCUGGGGGAGCGAACAGGAUUAGAUACCCUGGUAGUCCCAGCCGUAAACGAUGGACGCUAGGUGUGG
rnacentral:rRNA from 1 species